AACUGAUUUUGAGGGACGUGUGGCCUAUAAUAAUUGUGAUAACGCAUAUCAAUCGAUCGCGAUUGUUAAGCAAUGAUGACCCAAGUCGGUUAAUAGAUGGGUG